rnacentral:rRNA from 1 species
ACAACUUUCAGCAAUGGAUCUCUUGGUUCUCGCAUCGAUGAAGAACGCAGCGAAUCGCGAUAAGUAAUGUGAAUUGCAGAUUUCCAGUGAAUCAUCGAAUCUUUGAACGCACCUUGCGCCCUUUGGUAUUCCGAAGGGCAUGCCUGUUUGAGUGUCAUGAAAUACAUCAACCCUUGGCUUUUCGCCAUCGGCUUGGACUU